ensembl:lncRNA novel transcript, antisense to SLC35E2B
AAGGCUUGCGAGCAGAAUGCCUUCGCGAUGGACGCCCGCAUUCCACCCCCUUGACCGCUGGGACCCCUAGUGGCGGGUGGGUGGAGCGCGCUCCAUUUACCUGCUGGUUACCUCGUGAGGCGCCUCAGUGAAAUACUUCCAGGCCUUCGAAAGGCCAUCCUUUGGACACAUGUAAAAAGCUGUCUUGUUGGCCUGUUAUUCCCACUGACCCGUCUGAGUGAUCACCCAGGAGCGCGGCGGCAGCAAGCAGAGCUCACCGGAUUUGGGACAAGGAUUUUAAAGGCAGCUACAAAGCUGAGCUCUAUUUGCUGAUGAUAGUCUCUGUUCAGCUGUUUAAAAUGACUGUCUGACUCACCAUGGUAAUUUUUCACAAAUUAAAGACACAUUUUGGGUUGUGCAA